UACGUAGGGUGCAAGCGUUGUCCGGAAUUAUUGGGCGUAAAGGGCUCGUAGGCGGUCCAUCGCGUCGGGAGUGAAAAGCUGGGGCUUAACCCCAGUCCUGCUUCCGAUACGGGUGGACUAGAGGUAGGUAGGGGAGAUCGGAAUUCCUGGUGUAGCGGUGAAAUGCGCAGAUAUCAGGAGGAACACCGGUGGCGAAGGCGGCCUUCUGGACGGAUACUGACGCUGAGACGCGAAAGCGUGGGGAGCAAACAGG
rnacentral:rRNA from 1 species